AAGGCAGGCCGGGUCAUCGCCGCGCGGGGAUUCCCGCGGGGAGGAAAGUCCGGGCUCCACAGGGCAGGACGCUGGGUAACGCCCAGGGGGAGCAAUCCCCGGAAAGCGCAACAGAAAGCAAACCGCCCCGCCCGCGCGGCGGGGUAAGGGUGAAACGGCGGGGCAAGAGCCCGCCAGUUGCCGCGGCGACGCGGCAAGCUAGGCAAGCCCCGUCCGGAGCAAGACCAAUUAGGGAAGCGUGUGAAGCCGGCCCGGCUGAGCUUCCGGGUAGGUCGCUGGAGGCCGCGGGCAAUCGCGGUCCUAGAGGAAUGAUGGCCAUCCCGCCCUUCCGGGAAAUUCUCCCGGCGCGGGAAACAGAACCCGGCUUACAGGCCUGCCUUUGCC
rnacentral:RNase_P_RNA from 1 species